rnacentral:rRNA from 1 species
CCCUUAGAUGUUCUGGGCCGCGCGCGCGCUACACUGAUGCAUUCAACGAGUCUAAAACCUGCUCUGAUAGGGGUGGGUAAUCUUUUGAAUGUGCAUCGUGAUUGGGAUAGAUGAUUGCAAUUUUUCAUCUUCAACGAGGAAUGCCUGGUAAACGCAAGUCAUCAGCUUGCAUUGAUUACGUCCCUGCCCUUUGUACACACCGCCCGUCGCUCCUACCGAUUGAAUGAUCCGAUGAAUAUCAUGGAUUGAGGAUGCAAGUAGGUUAGCCUAUCUUCAUCUUCGAGAAGUGAAGUAAAUCUUAUCAUUUAGAGGAAGGAGAAGUCGUAACA